rnacentral:rRNA from 1 species
AGAGUUUGAUCAUGGCUCAGGAUGAACGCUAGCGGCAGGCCUAAUACAUGCAAGCCGAACGGCAAGUUGAGUAGCAAUACUUGACCUAGAGUGGCGUAAGGGUGCGUAACACGUAUGCAAUCUGCCCGCAACAGGAGGAUAGCUCCCCGAAAGGGGAAUUAACCCUCCAUAGGACCACACGAAGGCAUCUGAGAGUGGUUAAACCAAAAGGGGUUGCGGAUGAGCAUGCGGUUGAUUAGCUAGUUGGCGGGGUAACGGCCCACCAAGGCGAUGAUCAAUAGGGGAACUGAGAGGUUUAUCCCCCACACUGGCACUGAGAUACGGGCCAGACUCCUACGGGAGGCAGCAGUAGGGAAUAUUGGACAAUGGGCGAGAGCCUGAUCCAGCCAUGCCGCGUGCAGGAAGAAGGCCUUCUGGGUUGUAAACUGCUUUUGCCAGGGGAUAAAAANNNCUGCGGGGAAAAUUGAAGGUACCUGGUGAAUAAGCCACGGCUAACUACGUGCCAGCAGCCGCGGUAAUACGUAGGUGGCAAGCGUUGUCCGGAUUUAUUGGGUUUAAAGGGUGCGUAGGCGGUUCCAUAAGUCAGUGGUGAAAUACGGCAGCUCAACUGUCGAGGUGCCAUUGAUACUGUGGAACUUGAGUACAGACGAGGUAGGCGGAAUUGACGGUAGCGGUGAAAUGCUUAGAUAUCGUCAAGAACACCGAUAGCGAAGGCAGCUUACUAGACUGUAACUGACGCUGAGGCACGAAAGUGUGGGGAUCAAACAGGAUUAGAUACCCUAGUAGUCC